rnacentral:tRNA from 1 species
GGCCCGUUCGUCUAACGGUUAGGACACAUGGUUUUCAUCCAUGAAAUAGGAGUUCGAUUCUCCUACGGGCUA